UCGCGAUGAAGCUCGUCCGGGGUGGAUUCGUUAAAAACUCACCGGAAUCGCGGUUUGCGCGCCCUGUCUGUCGGGUUGCAACCCGCUAAAUUUAAUAGACUGCACUAAGCAUGUAGAUCUCUCGGCAGAGGACUGACGGACGCGGGUUCAAUUCCCGCCGCCUCCACCA
rnacentral:tmRNA from 1 species